rnacentral:rRNA from 1 species
CACGUAGGGGCCAAGCGUUGUCCGGAAUCACUGGGCGUAAAGGGCGCGUAGGCGGCUUUAUAAGUCGGGGGUGAAAGCCUGUGGCUCAACCACAGAAUUGCCUUCGAUACUGUAGAGCUUGAGACCGGAAGAGGUUAGUGGAACUGCGAGUGUAGAGGUGAAAUUCGUAGAUAUUCGCAAGAACACCGGUGGCGAAGGCGGCCAACUGGACCAUUACUGACGCUGAGGCGCGAAAGCGUGGGGAGCAAACAGG